rnacentral:rRNA from 1 species
AUGGAAUUUGACUCUUCUGAUGAAGAUUACUCCUAUGAUGAAGAUGAAGAGGGGAACAUGGUUAGGAGGAAGAGCAGAUACCCAAGAUUUAACUCUGAAACUGAUAUCCCACAUUUCAGUUUAGGGAUGGUUUUCAGGAGCAAAAAUCAGUUUCUGAAAGCUGUUAAGAGAUAUGGUCUUGCUACAAAAAGAAGCAUCAGAUUUGUGAAGUCUGAGGAGAAUAGGGUUAGAGCCAAAUGUGCAUGGUCUGGCUAUCCAUGGCUUGUGUAUGGAGCAAAAACAAGCAGGUGCUCAAGGUUUCAAAUAAUAACAUAUGAGGAAGAGCAUCACUAUGCACAAAACAGAGAAAACAUGCUUCUUUCUGCAAAGUUCAUAGCAUAAAAAUAUGAGCAUUUCAUUUUGGCCAAUCCUAUGUGGAAGAUUGAUAGUAUUAAAGCCACUAUACUGGAAGAUAUGUUUGCUGAUGUAUCCACUUCCAAGUGUAAGGCAGCAAAAAAGAUUGUUAUGGAUAAGCUUUUGUCUGGUAUGAAGAGUGAGUACACAAAAAUCUUUGACUACCAGCUAGAGUUGCUUAGGAGUAACCCUGGAAGUAUAGUAGCUGUUUGCUUGGACCCAACAGAAAUGGAAGUGAAUGUUUUCCAGCAGUUCUAUGUUUGCUACAAUGCUUUGAAGCAAGGGUUUAAAUCUGGGGGGAGGAAGGUGAUAGGGCUAGAUGGGUGUUUUUUCAAAAGAGCAUGA